rnacentral:rRNA from 1 species
UGACGGUACUUGACUAAGAAGCUCCGGCUAAAUACGUGCCAGCAGCCGCGGUAAUACGUAUGGAGCAAGCGUUAUCCGGAUUUACUGGGUGUAAAGGGAGCGUAGACGGCAAAGCAAGUCUGAAGUGAAAUCCCGGGGCUCAACCCCGGAACUGCUUUGGAAACUGUUUAGCUAGAGUGCAGGAGAGGUAAGCGGAAUUCCUAGUGUAGCGGUGAAAUGCUUAGAUAUGUGAUAGAACCCCGAUUGCGAAGGCAGCUUACCAGCAUACAACUGACGCUGAGGCACGAAAGCGUGGGUAUCAAACAGGAUUAGAUACCCUG